ACUCCUACGGGAGGCAGCAGUGGGAAUAUUGCACAAUGGGCGCAAGCCUGAUGCAGCGACGCCGCGUGGGGGAUGACGGCCUUCGGGUUGUAAACCUCUUUCAGUACCGACGAAGCGCAAGUGACGGUAGGUACAGAAGAAGCACCGGCCAACUACGUGCCAGCAGCCGCGGUAAUACGUAGGGUGCGAGCGUUGUCCGGAAUUACUGGGCGUAAAGAGCUCGUAGGUGGUUUGUCGCGUUGUCCGUGAAAUCCCACGGCUUAACUGUGGGCGUGCGGGCGAUACGGGCAGACUGGAGUACUGCAGGGGAGACUGGAAUUCCUGGUGUAGCGGUGGAAUGCGCAGAUAUCAGGAGGAACACCGGUGGCGAAGGCGGGUCUCUGGGCAGUAACUGACGCUGAGGAGCGAAAGCGUGGGGAGCGAACAGGAUUAGAUACCCUGUAGGCUCUG
rnacentral:rRNA from 1 species